rnacentral:ncRNA from 1 species
AAAACAGGGGGGCCGAAAGGCUUAGAUUUGGCUGCCGUACGCGGGGCCAUAGACCCUUCUUACCUGAUCCGGGUAAUGCCGGCGUAGGGAGUUUUUG